UAAAUUUGAAAACUAGCAAAAUAAGAGACGAUAAAAACAGGGUCUUGAGUCAAGUCAGAGCACUGCAAAGUGAAACCCAGCGAGAGUAGAGUUUGUCGAUUGUUGAGGCUGCGAAUGCGAUCCGUUUAUUGAUUUUUAAGUUUUACUUAGACCCGGGUUAAGCUUAUUGAAUCUGUAUAUAAACAAUUUUUUAUUGUUUUUUUAUCACAAAAUUUGUAUAUUAACAUUGUAGAUGACGUUUGUUAUAGGAAUGAGAACCAUUUCAAUUUCUCUGGUUGAAUGUUUUUGAGAAUCGAUUUAGGUUUGUUGUAACUUUGUGGUUUGAAUCAUAGUCUUUAGUUUAUGAAAUCUAGGCAUAGAUCUAUGUGAUUACUAAUUUACUCCGAGCUACUUGCCCACGGAUUGUGAGAAUUGUUCUAUGGUUUAUGUAGAAUCAUCACAUUGAUAAUUUUGUGAAUGAGAACCAUAAUAUCUCUGCUUGAAUGGUUUGAUAAUUUUUGUAUAUGUGUAUUGGAUUAGCAUUAUCUUAGAUUUAUGCGGUUUUUUUAAAUCAGAAAUGAGACUCUUUUGAUGAACAGGGAGAUCCAGUGUGGGCAAUUAGUUCAGAGACAGUGAAUUCUCUUUUGGGACUUUCUCUGAAUUUCUUCUUUGUCUUGCCUCUUACAAACUCCGCUGGUAUCCAAUUCUUACAAGCUCCUGUUCUUCACCCGAUGGCUGAAGGGUUAUUCAACUUUGUGAUAGCUUGGACACUCAUGUUUGCUCCGUUGCUAUACACAGACCGAAAGAGAGAUGGAUACAAAAGCUCUCUUGACGUUCUAUGGGGUCUCAUGAUGUUCCUCACAAAUACGUUUCUAAUCCCAUACAUGGCUU